UGGCGGACGGGUGAGUAAUGUCUGGGAAACUGCCCGAUGGAGGGGGAUAACUACUGGAAACGGUAGCUAAUACCGCAUAACGUCGCAAGGCCAAAGAGGGGGACCUUAGGGCCUCUUGCCAUCGGAUGUGCCCAGAUGGGAUUAGCUAGUAGGUGGGGUAAUGGCUCACCUAGGCGACGAUCCCUAGCUGGUCUGAGAGGAUGACCAGCCACACUGGAACUGAGACACGGUCCAG
rnacentral:rRNA from 1 species